rnacentral:misc_RNA from 1 species
GUUCUCACAAGCAACUUUGAUGUUCAUAAUCAAUAGUAGUAAUAUAAAAAUACGAUAUUGAUUUCCUACUUGUUUGAGAUUCACAAUGAAAAAUGUUUAUUUAUUUUCCUUUAGUAAAACAAUAAAUCCUAACUCACUAAAACCAUAUUGGGAUUAUGGAGGUACUGUACUGUUAUUUGGACACAAUAUUAUUGAUUUGGUACAAGAUGAGGCUUAAAAGAAAAAGAAAGGGAAAAGGAGAUCCAAUGAACUUUUGUCUUUUUUCUCAUGAUGUAGGGCUUUGCACAGCUUCAAUUGCA